AUUACCAAACAAAUUGACGUCAUCUUUUAUGCUGCUGGCAGAAUAGUGUGUCUCUGAUGUAACCUCGCGUCUCAAAGUAGCGGUCAUCUGAAUGAACAAGGAAGUAACAAGACCAUUUAUUUACUGUACGAGAUGGCCAUCAUUCGUAUGUUGUUCUCUUUCCUGAACAAUCCACGAGUCAUUGAGAAACUAGCGGAGUCUCGUCCUAUCCGACGUGCGGCACAGAUCGCAGCUUUUGCGAUCAUCAAAGCACAAAUCGCUGGGAGGGGUGCAACGGCGAAGGUCCUGAAGUCAGACACCCUACGCCAGGUUCGGCAAGAGGCUAACGGCCGGAUUCCCCGAGACGUUGGUGACAUCGGGACCCGGUUCAGAAGAGUGAGGGAGACUUUUGUCAAGGAGUUGAAAGAUGGCUUCAGAGACGCUCAGGGACAAAUAAAGAAAUGAAGAAAUUAAUGUGAAAUAAAAUUCCUGUGAUAGAACUCUGUAUGACAGACAAACAAUCAUGUGAACUAUUGAUAACGUGACUGACAACAUAACCCGUCCCACAACUGUCAAGUCCGACUACUGUUACAUCACUGAGACAAUCUUUUAAUAUAUUGAAGGGAACACUAAGCUACUGGUAAACCAGCUCCCAUGUCUCAAAACAUACUCAAGAUUAAUUUUCCAUCAGGGAGAUAUCAUCACGUAAUGAAUCAGGGGUGCAACUUUCACUGGGGAUGGAGGGGCAUGUCCCCCCCCCACAUCCUGAAAUGGCCUUUUUGCCCCCCCCCCCAGUUUUAUAUUUGGAAUGUGAUACAAAACAUGGCAUCGGUGUGCUUUAGGACCAUGUGGACGCCUCUGAGCAGUUGGGUAGGCUGUUUGGACUGUUUAUCUGACUGGGUAAAAAUGUUUUACCAAAGUUGAGCCCUUGUAAUGAAUGUUGGCGUUUGUGGUGGAUUAGCCUACUUUAACACGAAUGGGUUUGUGGUGGGUUAGCCUACUGUAACAGGUCUGGGUUUGUGGUGGGUUAGCCUACUGUAACAGGUCUGGGUUUGUGGUGGGUUAGCCUACUGUAACAGGUCUGGGUUUGUGGUGGGUUAGCCUACUGUAACAGGUCUGGGUUUGUGGUGGGUUAGCCUACUGUAACAGGUCUGGGUUUGUGGUGGGUUAGCCUACUUUAACACGAAUGGGUUUGUGGUGGGUUAGCCUACUGUAACAGGUCUGGGUUUGUGGUGGGUUAGCCUACUGUAACAGGUCUGGGUUUGUGGUGGGUUAGCCUACUGUAACAGGUCUGGGUUUGUGGUGGGUUAGCCUACUGUAACACGUCUGCAUGCUGGAGACAGAGAUUCGUUGCAAUCUACACAGUCGUCUUUAUUCAGGAGUUUGUGUUUGUAGAUAUGGAAUUGUCUACCUGAUUUGACUUGCAGAUUACCACCAUAUAGUAUGUUUGCUGUAAUGCAGCCCCACGUCAGUUCCCAUGACAUAUGACUUGAGGUGUCUAAAGGUUUGGAUUUUCCUCACCUAUUGGACAAAUCUUAGUGUGUUUUUAAAUUAUAUUUUACCAAUAAAAGAUCAUUCAGAGGAAAAAUGACUGGACAACA